UACGUAGGGUGCGAGCGUUAAUCGGAAUUACUGGGCGUAAAGCGUGCGCAGGCGGUUCGUUGUGUCGGCGGUGAAAGCCCCGGGCUCAACCUGGGAAUGGCCGUUGAAACUGGCGAACUGGAGUGUGGCAGGGGGGGGUGGAAUUCCGCGUGUAGCAGUGAAAUGCGUAGAGAUGCGGAGGAACACCGAUGGCGAAGGCAGCCCCCUGGGCUGACACUGACGCUCAGGCACGAAAGCGUGGGGAGCAAACAGG
rnacentral:rRNA from 1 species